rnacentral:sRNA from 1 species
UCUGGGCGCAGUGGUGCAAGCCUGUAAUCCCAGCAGCUUGGGAGGAUGAGACAGGAGGAUGGUUAGUUCAAAGCCAGCCUCAGUAACAGUGAGGUGCUAAGCAACUCAGUGAGAUCUUGUCUCUA